rnacentral:lncRNA from 1 species
CACAGCCUAGCAAUUACCCAGCGUCCAAACACACCCUGAAUAAUUUCCUGACAGAUCUAUGAUUUUACAAAUAGACAAAAGCAAGGAGCAAGAUCGAACAAAUCAAAAAAAUGGGAAAGAGAAUUUGAGAAAAAGGAAGUACAUAUUCGCUCAAGUUUCGUGGGUUUGUCUUGAUAUGCUUAAUGAGUUAACAACAACAACAACAACAACAACUACC